AUUGAACGCUGGCGGCAGGCCUAACACAUGCAAGUCGAACGAGUGGCGGACGGGUGAGUAAUGGAUGGGAAACUGCCUGAUGGAGGGGGAUAACUACUGGAAACGGUAGCUACUACCGCAUACCAUCAGAUGUGGCCAGAUGGGAUUAGCUAGUUGGUGGGGUAACGGCUCACCAAGGCGACGAUCCCUAGCUGGUCUGAGAGGAUGACCAGCCACACGGGAACUGCAACACGGUCCAGACUCCUACGUGAGGCAGCAGUGGGGAAUAGUGCACAAUGGGCGCAAGCCUGAUGCAGCCAUGCCGCGUGUAUGAAGAAGGCCGUAGGGUUGUAAAGUACUUUCGGCGGGGAGGCGUUACCCGCAGAAGAAGCACCGGCUAACUCCGUGCCAGCAGCCGCGGUAAUUC
rnacentral:rRNA from 1 species